AAGACUGUUCAGAUUUUUUCAUCCCUCUUUACCUAAGUCUUCCCUUUGUACAUACAUCUUGCUAUGGCUCACUGUAGCAGUCAGAUUGCCUUUAAAGAGAACAUGCUCAGUCUUGAGCAUGCUCAGUAUUGCUCAUGGCUGGGAAGGCCUCUGACCCUUGACCCCAGCUUCUCCCAGGUUAGGCGGGAAAACAAGUUUCUUUGUUCUCACUUGGUUAAGAGAAACCACACCUAUGCCUUGUCAUUGACCAAUGAGGGUCAUCCCUAUGUACUACGUAGCAAAUGGUAUUUAUGGCCCAGCAAGCUCCGCCUCGCCCCGCUCUCUCCCCUCUCUUCUCUUUCAGGCUAGCUGAUGGCUGUCCUUGCAGGAGCUUGGCCUCUGGCCAAGCUCCAUCUUUAAUCUUUCUCUAUUCAUCUCUCUGACCUGUAUUGUACUGGUAAAAGCCUUUGGAAUAGUCCUUUGAUCAGAGUUUGGCUGUGGCUCAUUGAUAAUUAAUAAAGACUCAUUCUGACCACCUCAUAUCUCUAAUUUGACUCUAAACUUCUAUCCUGUCUCCAUCUUCCUACCUUGUGGCUUUUCUCCCCUCUGAGAGAGACUACAAAUGGUGCCCAACGUGAACAGGGACCCUGCACCUGGCACUUUCUCGUGGCAUUCAACCCUUUUAUUUCACACAGCCGAGGGAAAACAGUAGGCGGGUGCCGGAGUUCGGGGAAUUCUGCUGAUCCUCUGGCCAAGAACGGUAAGUCUUCCUCUGCUCGAGGUGGGUCACUCCUCUGAACCCUGCUCGACUCUUAAUGUCGUUGUUGACGGGGGAGGAAGGGAAGUAUUGGAAAAUAUAUCAGGAUGAGGAAAGCACACGGUCCCUCAGAGCAUGAUUCUUAAACUAUCUCUGUGGGGGGGAGUGCUGUUUCCCUCCCCCACCUGGGCCUGCUAGCACAAUCCCCGGACCUGGAUCUCCGGAGGUUAAGAAACACCUGAGGAGCGGUCUGAGGGGGAGGGGAAGGAAAAAGAAAAUUUGACCUAGCAAAACCCUCACUAGGGGCCAUUGAGAACUUGAGAAAUCUCAGUCUGAAACAAACAGUUGCUAGAGCAUAGUGGAUUUCGAAAGGAGCAACUGGGAAAAGAAAAACCAGGAGUUAAGAUUUCAUCAGGAAAGUCCAAAGUCAAAUUUUUGGCCUCCUAAAACAAAAGCUCAGAGAGCCAGGCUGCUAUUCACCCAGUGGGAAAGGCUAGCAGACCAGAAGCAAGGAGCAAGCUAAUCUUCACAGGCACAUUCCUGGGAUGCUUUUAAAAGGCUUAUCAAGAAGUAAUUGCUUUGACUCAAGCAGGGCACUUAAAGGGUCAGAAUUACUUGGAAAAAGGGAUCUAAUAAAACCACAGGUCUCAGCAAAAUUAAUGAAUCAAGGUAAUAGUCCUGAAUUAGGUUAAAUUCAGAACAGCCUAAGUUGUAAAAAGAUAUUGCCAUCCUGUAACCAAAGGCAGAAGAUUUAAAAAAAAAAAAAAGGAAAGCCUCUACACUCAUUUAGCAUUUGAAAAAGGUCCUAGGAACUCUUUUGUUUGAGGUCCCGCCAGGUAAAGGCAGGCUUUACCUGGGUGAUUGCAAAUGAUAAAAAGCACAGAGAAGUGAGAUCUGGGAAUUUGAAUCGUUUUAAUUUAGGUUGGAUAUAGGCAAAAUUAUAAAGGAAUGUCUGCUUAUAUUUUUUGAUAAAGGAAGUUAAAAAAGAGAAUUAAAAUAUCUUUCUCUGACUUUUGUUAUAUGCCACAGAAUAUCAGGACUAGAAAUGUUUUAUCUGUAGAGAAAUUUUGGUAUAAAUCACAAGGUAAUUAAAGUGCAAACAGAAAACUUUUAAGGUUUGGGUUUAAAUCUGAAGCAGCUUGAAUUUUUUUCUCUACUGGCCACAUGGCUUGAGCCACGUGGAAGAUAGCAUCAGAGCAACUGAGGUUCCAAGUUUUUUUAUUACAAACGCUGUAUUUGGCUAGAAGAAAAAUUUAAUCCUAAGAUAUAAUAAGCAUGAAUUGGACUAUGAUUUAAAGGAAUUUAUGACUUUCUAAUUUUAACCAUGGAGGAAUUAUUAACACUUUUCUAAGCAGGACAUAAAGCAACAGGAUGAAUCUUGAGCAGAGCUUAUUCAAACAGCCUGUAUGCAGUUCAGAAACUUUUUACUGGGCAUAUUACUAUACCUGUAUCCAGAAAGCAAAUGAUUUAUAACUAGAAUAGCUUUUAAUAUGGAAAAUUAAGACACAUGCUCAGCAGGGUAAAAGCAUGGUUAGGAGGAUUCAAUCUGUUUACCAGUGGUUAAUUAUUAAAGUUAUCAAGGAAUCUGUUACUCAGUACAGUGAUUUAUUAAGGAUUUGAAAGAGGCACUACUAUCAUGUAUUCAAAUUGCAGAUAUUGAAGCUGAUCAUGAUAUUGAAAAGAGACCUAUGAUAAUAAGGCAAAUUCAAAGGUUACUGGCAUAAUUUGAUUUAUUUCUGCAGUGAAGAUUUGCAGAAUUAGCAGAUGAAAGUAAUGAUUUUAGUGACAGUAUUAAGAUCUUUUCAGUUAUGAAGUUAAUUGCAGUAGUUCACAAAUAACAACUUCUGUGCAACUGUUUGAUAAUUCUGUGCAUACUGUACAGCAUAAGACAAUGCUAUAAUUUUAAUAACUGCACAAUGUGAAUUUUUUCAAAAAGAAAAAAUUGGGUGCAGGCAAACAAGGGAUUAAGAUCCCAGCACACAUGGGUCAAAUCAUAAGUGAUUUAUAGUAUGAUAUUUUUAUGAUUAUGGGUUUGAAAAAGCAAAUAUUUAAGCAUCUAUACAUGCUGCUUUGCAAAGUCUAUUGUACAUCUAUAUCCUGAACAAGCAGGUGAUAUUGCUUAUCAAUGCAAACUGUUGUGGAUUAAUUUCACCCCUGAGGGAUAUCCAUGUAUAUUUUGGAGCAAAGAUGCAUUUCAGCAUGCUCCUGGCACAAAGGUUGAACUGUGAAAAGUGAUGGGAGAUACUUACUCUCCUGGUUUAGGGUUCAAGCUCAAAUGAAGAAGUAAGCAAAGUGAUUACAGAUUCCAUAAAUAUCUGUGCACAACUGUCUAUUCCAAACAGCUUGGAAUAGCAGGGCUUUUAACAGCAAUGCAAGGGCUGAAAUGCAUAGCUCAUGGCUUACAUGCAAGCUAUGGUGAAAAGAGCUCAAGGGAAUUCAUGAGCCCCAAGGUUCAAAAAACUGAAAGUAUAUAUGUUCUGUCACUUUCUAACUCUCUAAGACCCAAUGAGGCUUUCAUUUGGGGUCGAGGUCUUGUUUAUAUGUUCACAGAUAAUGAAAACAUCUGGUCACCCACGUCAUGCUUCAUGCCAGCUGAUACAGACCAGGAAGAGAAGCAGACGGAAGGUGAUGGCAUCAGCUAUCUACAUGCCAGCCACAAUCCAGGCACGCUGGAGGGACACUUCUUUGGUGACUAAUAUCACUCCAGAACAAUGACAUUACACUAUUAGAGACAUUUGCUAUUAGGCCACUGAUGGACACUUGUCAUGCUGACAUCCAUUGAGAUGGGGUACCCAGAGCAACAUCAAGUAUGCUAACUCAGAAGGACUAAAUCACACUUGUGUCUGUACAAGACACCAAAUAUGUCCCACACUCCAAAGACUUUGCUAUGGGAUUGAGAUGAAUUAGCUACAAAUUGUCUAGCUGCUAAUGUAUACCCUGUAUUUUGUAUAUGAUACUGUCAAAAGAAAUGUAUAUUGUAUGCAUUGUAAAGCUACCACUUGUAUUGUAAGAAAUGCUGUUAUCAACAAGGGUAUAGACCUUGGUAUGAUUCUCCAAAGAAGUAGGAGAUAGAAAACUUUCAUUCAUAGCAUAGAUCUGAUACCUCUGACAACAAAAAUGAGGUGCUAAGCAGGAAAUGAUGCACAGACAAGGUUAAUGGACAGAUGACACUGAUGUUACUCUCGAGAAAGGAUGAGAGAUCAGGGAAAAGACACUAGGAAAUCUUUAAUCAGGAACCUGAGUUAUUGUAAGAAAUCAUUGACAUCCAGGCAAAGAUUAUGUUCCUGACAAUACCAGGAUGGACAUUAAGGGCUGACUACCAGAGAUGUAGUUAAGUGUUAAUACCAUUGUUAAUCAUUACUCCUGAUACCCUGUCUUUGUGGGUAAUAUUUUAAUAGGAAAAAUGUCUUGCUCUCCUCCAACAAUCCCAGAAUUCAGAUGGCCACUGGAUUCGAGAUCUAUUGGCUUCCCUUUCAUAUACUGGAAGACGUUCUGGUAUAUGGAAGUAAGACCUCAGGAAAACACUGAGGACUCUAGGUGUGACAAUUUCUGUGGACGCGCAGUCAUUGUCUCUCCUAGAUGGAAAAAAUUAUUAUUGCACAAAAACAUGGAGCAAGGGCAAAGUAUAAUCUAAGUUUUACUGUUUUGGAGUAUGGAUUAAAAACAUGACACAAUAGGCACAGAUAAGCGUGUAGAAAAAGCACAUUGAAUAUUAUUCACUGACAAUUAGGAAUGAAAAAGCUAUGUCAAAUUCCAUAGGUACAAGAAACUGUAGAAAUUGUUUUUACAUGGAAAACAACUUAAGCUUCUAUUUACCCAAACAUUGGUUUGGUGGAAAGAAUUUUGCAAAUAGUGGUAAUGGUAUAGGUUUGGUUAUCAUAUUGAUGGGUUUAUUUAUACAAGCAGAGAUUUAAAUAAGGAAGACAUAAGGGAUAUGCAGUCAAAACUUGAAAUAUUACUUCAUUAUCACCAUCAUGGUUAUUUAAGUUACAAUUGAGAAUGUAAAAUGUAUGGGAAUAUUGGUAUUUGUUAAAAAUUGCACUGUGAUUAUUGUAUUAAUGCUUUUUGCAAAGCCUGUAAUGGUGCAAAAUUAUGUUCAUAUACAAGGCGAAUUUUGAUCUAUUUAGAUCAGGAAUUAGGAAUCAUUGGGAAUAUAAGUUCUGAUAUUUUACAUUGGCUCAGUUUCAAAGAUACCACAUAGACAGUGAGCCAAAAGUCUAGAAUCUUGUAUUAAUUUUGGGAUCAGGUUCCCAGGAUCAAUUUUCUAAGAUCAUUUGACAUGUGAUAACAUGAUCCUCCAGAAUUGUUCAGAGAGGAUGUUUUUCUUUGAAAGGAUCUCUCCCUACCCACAAACAAAAAGAAAAGGGAGAGGAAUCUCAUAGAGAUCAGUAUGUUCAUUUUAGAGAACACUUUUGAUUCAUUUUCAAGUAUUCAACUUUGAUUUUUCUGUUGCACAAUUAUUGCCAGAAUUUUUAAGUACAAGGAAAGUACUGUUAAUGCUCUGAUCCAGAAUUAUGAAGGUGCAAAGAUUUCUAUAAUUGCAGUCACCCAACAGUUGCUGAACAUGAGAACAUGACAGCAAUUGUUAAUUUUCAGAUGACCAUUCUGGAGAAUGAUGUCUGAUUGCAUGUAAGGGGAAUCAUAAUGAAUCUUUCAUUAUGGACCAGACAGCCUCAGCCACGAUUAUACACUUUCCAUAUGAAAUGGAUGUUUGAGGUUGGGAGAUGCAGAGACGUGGCGUACUGACACCCUCAGUCGCUGAAUGUCCUGGUAUCAAGCUACCAACCAGUUUCCUAUGUGGCAGGCAUCUGGCAGUGAGCACGGAAAGAUCCCCAAGAUGCAGUAUCAGUACGAGAGAAAGGAAGGACUUAUCCUUCAUCUCCAGAGAUAGUAUUUUGCUAACUGUUGAAAAGACGGACAACUUCUGCAUAUAGUGUCCAUCUCUUCUUUUGUUACUCUUCAUUUUUCGUUACCCCAAACAGGAUGUCACAGGACUAGCCGACCCUGUGAUUGAGUCUUGUACUGCCCGGACAGGGACUUUCAUUCGUAACCCCGAUUCCUUUGCUGGUCUUAGGAUGACGAAGAGUUAACAGCUUUUGCCCCGAGACUGCAGCUCGGAUGGGCAGAAGAAUCGAACAGAGAGAGUGCAGUGUUUGUGGGCCUCCUCUGUUCCCCAACUUUAUUAUUGCACCUGUCAUGUGAGCCAUAGAAUUCUACCUCAUUAGACCAGGAUCAGUAGCGUGGAAAUUAUUUUCUUAACAUUUUUAUAUCUACUAAGACUGUUGCAUAGAUCCUGAAAUGCAGACAGAUAGAAAGAUCAGUUUGGAAUUUUUUAAGAUUGAUCACUGAAUCAGUUUAUGCUGAUGUUCACUCUUGAUUGGUAUAUCUAAGUUAUACAAUCAGGGUGGGUUUUUCAUCUCUGUAUCAGAAUAUGAUUAUGCACCAGAGUGUUUGUAUUUGUUAAGGCUGUAAUGUUGUUACAUUUUGAUAUUACACUAUUCAUUUGUGUGUAAAACAAAAAGGGGGAAUUGUAGCAGUCAGAUUGCCUUUAAAGAGAACAUGCUCAGUCUUGAGCAUGCUCAGUAUUGCUCAUGGCUGGGAAGGCCUCUGACCCUUGACCCCAGCUUCUCCCAGGUUAGGCGGGAAAACAAGUUUCUUUGUUCUCACUUGGUUAAGAGAAACCACACCUAUGCCUUGUCAUUGACCAAUGAGGGUCAUCCCUAUGUACUACGUAGCAAAUGGUAUUUAUGGCCCAGCAAGCUCCGCCUCGCCCCGCUCUCUCCCCUCUCUUCUCUUUCAGGCUAGCUGAUGGCUGUCCUUGCAGGAGCUUGGCCUCUGGCCAAGCUCCAUCUUUAAUCUUUCUCUAUUCAUCUCUCUGACCUGUAUUGUACUGGUAAAAGCCUUUGGAAUAGUCCUUUGAUCAGAGUUUGGCUGUGGCUCAUUGAUAAUUAAUAAAGACUCAUUCUGACCACCUCA